rnacentral:rRNA from 1 species
UGGGGAAUUUUGGACAAUGGGCGAAAGCCUGAUCCAGCAAUGCCGCAUGUGUGAAGAAGGCCUUCGGGUUGUAAAGCACUUUUGUCCGGAAAGAAAUCCUUGGCUCUAAUACAGUCGGGGGAUGACGGUACCGGAAGAAUAAGCACCGGCUAACUACGUGCCAGCAGCCGCGGUAAUACGUAGGGUGCAAGCGUUAAUCGGAAUUACUGGGCGUAAAGCGUGCGCAGGCGGUUUGCUAAGACCGACGUGAAAUCCCCGGGCUCAACCUGGGAACUGCAUUGGUGACUGGCAGGCUAGAGUAUGGCAGAGGGGGGUAGAAUUCCACGUGUAGCAGUGAAAUGCGUAGAGAUGUGGAGGAAUACCGAUGGCGAAGGCAGCCCCCUGGGCCAAUACUGACGCUCAUGCACGAAAGCGUGGGGAGCAAACAGGAUUAGAUACCCUGGUAGUCCACGCCCUAAAACGAUGUCAACUAGUUGUUGGGGAUUCAUUUCCUUAGUAACGUAGCUAACGCGUGAAGUUGACCGCCUGGGGAGUACGGUCGCAAGAUUAAAACUUAAAGGAAUUGACGGGGUCAUAGCUGUUUCCU